rnacentral:rRNA from 1 species
GUGGGGAAUAUUGGACAAUGGGCGAAAGCCUGAUCCAGCAAUGCCGCGUGAGUGAUGAAGGCCUUAGGGUUGUAAAGCUCUUUUACCAGGGAUGAUAAUGACGGUACCCGGAGAAGAAGCUCCGGCUAACUUCGUGCCAGCAGCCGCGGUAAUACGAAGGGGGCUAGCGUUGUUCGGAAUUACUGGGCGUAAAGCGCACGUAGGCGGACAUUUAAGUCAGGGGUGAAAUCCCGGAGCUCAACUCCGGAACUGCCUUUGAUACUGGGUGUCUGGAGUAUGGAAGAGGUGAGUGGAAUUCCGAGUGUAGAGGUGAAAUUCGUAGAUAUUCGGAGGAACACCAGUGGCGAAGGCGGCUCACUGGUCCAUUACUGACGCUGAGGUGCGAAAGCGUGGGGAGCAAACAGGAUUAGAAACCCUGGUAGUCC